UCCCUGGUGGCUCAGACAGUAAAGCAUCUGCCUGCAAUGCGGGAGACUCGGGUUCGAUUCCUGGGUCGGGAA
rnacentral:tRNA from 1 species